CUGGAGCGGCCUUGGCAGGGUGUUGGAGCCCUCGGUCUGCCCGGUCUGGUCUCUGGGGCCAGGGCUGGGUUCCCUCAUGUAUGGCAAGAGCACUUCGUGUGCUGGGCUGCUUCUCCUUGGCGUGCAGCUCACAGCCCUUUGGCCUAUAGCAGCUGUGGAAAUUUACACCUCCCAAGUGCUGGAGGCUGUCAACGGGACAGAUGUUCGGUUAAAAUGCACUUUCUCCAGCUUUGCCCCCGUGGGUGAUGCGCUAACAGUGACCUGGAACUUCCGUCCUCGAGAUGGGGGCCCCGAGCAGUUUGUAUUCUACUACCAUGUGGAUCCCUUCAAACCCAUGAGUGGGCGUUUCAAGGAUCGAGUGGUCUGGGACGGGAACCCUGAGCGGUACGACGUCUCCAUCAUCCUCUGGAAGCUGCAGUUUGACGACAAUGGGACAUACACCUGCCAGGUGAAGAACCCACCUGACGUUGAUGGGCUGAUAGGGGAGAUUCGGCUGAGCGUCGUGCACACUGUACGCUUCUCUGAGAUCUACUUCCUGGCUCUGGCCAUUGGCUCUGCCUGUGCCCUGAUGGUCAUAAUAGUAAUCGUGGUGGUCCUCGUCCAGCAUUUCCGGAAAAAGCGAUGGGCCGAAAGAGCUCAUAAAGUGGUGGAGAUAAAAUCGCAAGGAGAACGUAAAGUGCCCCCCACCUCCCCAGACUGAGAAGGCACUCUGAAACUGGAAGAGAUACAGAAUACGCAGAGUUCUAUGUUAAGUGACUUCCUGCCAGGGAGGAUCAGGAGGACCGCCAUCUGGACAGCUGCGCAGCCAGUCUCCUCAGAAGCCCUGCGUUUUAGCUUACUGGUUUUAAAGGAGCUGGACGUGCGGGGGAGUGUUUGCAUAUACGUGACUGGUGGCUAAUGUCUAGCAGACCUUAUGGCAUCAUCCAUGCGUUUGCAGAAAACUAUGUUAUCUGCACUGGUGUCUUAAUGGGCCCAUUGAAAUCCAGAACAGAUUCCCUGGACAUUCUGGUUUUAGAAGAAAAGAAGAGGAAAGGCUCAACCAAGAUAAAAAGGUCUCUGUUUAUUUAGAAGACGCAGACUGACAUUCUUAGAUGGAAGCUGAAGAUUCCCAAGAACAAGCACCCUAGGAUAAGCUGAAGUUAAUGGAAGCUUUUCUUUGGCUUUACCAGUUGUGACUUGUCUUCCAACCAGCCCUGCAGUACAUAACCACCCAGAGAAGCAACGUCUCUCUGGAGCCAGCAUAGGCCCAGGGCCCUCUUGAGCUGAUACCGGGAGACUCACACACAGCCCGUCGCUACGGUUUUAUUUAAUUUCAGAGUGCAAAUACUUUUCAAAUGCUCAUGAGCUUUUUAUACUGAGAAACUACAUUUUUGCCCUUGAACACUCCUUGGGGAUUGUUAAUUGUAUGCAUGCCCACUGGUGUCAAAUGAGAUGAAAGCCAUCUUGUCAGUCAUGACAUUUCCUUUAACGUAUUAGUUUCUUCAGAGCAGCACUCUUGCUACUAAGGUUAAUGUGUUUACUUUUUCCUUCUCAGUCUCCACUAAAAGAUGAGCCAAUUCUCUCCGCCGUUUUUGAUCAAUUAACAGGAAACCCUAAAUCCCAUUCUUCAACAGUUUGAUUUUUAUGGCUCUCCUUGAGUAUGGGACACAUCUUGUUUUAUUGAAUUUCUUUCAGUAUCCCAGAUGAUUGUUUUGGUUGAUCCCACAUUUAUAAUUAGCACAAAUCUAAAUCACAGAGUAGCUAGAAGAGUUUAUGUAAAUGCUUAUGGAUUGACAAAUGCCACCUCAGGAUGAAUCACUUGUCACCUUUUUUCUCUGUGUUCCGAAAAAACAACCAACAGAGCAAGUCUUCCGUGAGCAGUGGAUACUGUUCAGCUUACUGUUCAGUUAUAACAGCAGAGCAAAAUCUGUGGUCUUUUGCAGACUGGAAUCAUCAAGCAGUUACACAGAAGGUUCUGGAAUAGUAUAUUAUGACUAUAAAAAUUUAGGGCUGGUGAAAAAAAUCAAGCCUAAGUGAUGAUAAUUUUGUACAGUGUUAUAUAAAGCUCUGAGAACUGGAUGAGAUUUUUUUUCCCCUCUCCUUUUCUUUAUAUUAUUUUAUUUUUGCUUUAAUUUGCUUGUUUUGAGGGAGGGAGGAUUUGGUAUGGGGCAAAGAAAUACCAAAACUAACAAUAUGAAACCAACUUUAUUCUUUCUUCCCUUAUGCCAGUAGAGACAGCAACCUUUAUAAGUAGGCUAUGGAAAGAAAAGUGCUUUUUCAAAAGUGUUUAACCUCCCAGUGUCUUUCCAAACUUAAGUUAUAGCAGCAUUUAUUAAAAAAAUAGAAAACAUCUGAAAGUUUAGUUGCCCCCACCCCUGCCCCAUCUUUAUAGCCUAAUAACUUCAGUUUUCACUGACUGGGCCAAAGAUGUUCUUUCUUUUAACAAACUGGAAUUUUCAAAUAGGUUAUCUGUAUUUAAAUAUGCUGAACUUUGAAUAUUUUUUCUAGUAUUUUUAGAAAAAUUGGUACAAUAUUCAUAUGAACCUGGAUUCUGCAUUCAUUCUCUACCUAUCUCAUUUUGCCUUUUACACGAAAAAAGUAAAAUUUUAACACCCAAUUUGGAAACUAAAAGUUACAUUAAAAGUAUUUAUUAUUAUUAUUAUUUGAGAGAGAGCACAAGCUAGCGGGGGAGGGGCUGAGAGAGAGGGGAGACAGGAUUCGAAGCAGGGCCCACGCUGUCAGUGCAGCGCGAUGUGGGGCCUGAACUUAGGAACUAUGAGAUCAUGACCUGAGCUGAAGUCAGAUGUUUAACCGACUGAGCCACCCAGGUGCCCCAAAACUAAAAGUUGGCUUUCAGGUCUAUAUUACUUUUAAAUUACAUUUUCUACUUUUCUCCAUAAUUCAACCUUUGAAAAUAACAAUAUUUUUUCAAACAGAUGGCCUGAAUGGUGUCCCAAAAGUGUAAUGAAGUAGUUAAAACCUCAUGGAAAAUCUUUUCAGCAAAACUUGUAGCUUGUGUCUUGGCUAAAUAUUCAGGGGUUAAUAUGACCCUAUUGUUCAGUACCUUUUUCCUAAAGAGAACUUUUGUAUGGUAAUUUAUUUUUUAUUGUGCCUAAACACAUAUGUAAAUAACCUUUAGUAGUAAAGAAUUAUCAAUUGUAUAAUUUGCUUACAUACAAAUCGAAAAAGUUUACAUAGCAAGUACUCAAAAACACAUGGUUAUGUAUUUUAUCAUUACUGAGAAAUUUUCUUAGAGCCUGGAAGUCAAUAAUGGGUGAAAUUAGUUUAUACUGGAUAAAUAAAUGUUUAUACUGGAUAAAGAA